AUUGAACGCUGGCGGCAUGCCUUACACAUGCAAGUCGAACGGCAGCACGGGUGCUUGCACCUGGUGGCGAGUGGCGAACGGGUGAGUAAUACAUCGGAACAUGUCCUGUAGUGGGGGAUAGCCCGGCGAAAGCCGGAUUAAUACCGCAUACGAUCUACGUAUGAAAGCGGGGGCCCUUCGGGCCUCGCGCUAUAGGGUUGGCCGAUGGCUGAUUAGCUAGUUGGUGGGGUAAAGGCCUACCAAGGCGACGAUCAGUAGCUGGUCUGAGAGGACGACCAGCCACACUGGGACUGAGACACGGCCCAGACUCCUACGGGAGGCAGCAGUGGGGAAUUUUGGACAAUGGGCGAAAGCCUGAUCCAGCAAUGCCGCGUGUGUGAAGAAGGCCUUCGGGUUGUAAAGCACUUUUGUCCGGAAAGAAAUCCUUGGCUCUAAUACAGUCGGGGGAUGACGGUACCGGAAGAAUAAGCACCGGCUAACUACGUG
rnacentral:rRNA from 1 species